GCCUGUGUAGCUCAGUGGUAGAGCGCGCCUUUCGUAGAACGAGGGUGAGGUCGGGAGUUCAAUCCUCUCCGGAGGCA
rfam:Trichosporon oleaginosus strain IBC0246 unplaced genomic scaffold CC85scaffold_80, whole genome shotgun sequence.